AAAUAAUCGAAUGAAUCGGAUGUCGACAUAUUCCGUACAAUUUUUAUAUUAAUUUCAAAGCAAUAUAUAAAGAAUUGUUAUUUCACACUGUGUGGUUUUGUAUGCAGCGCAUUCAUACC